GCCGAGCCCAAGACGCGCGAGGGGCAGCGAGUCUGAUUCAGGAAGUCGAGCCUCUGACAUCAGGGACAGGACGACGGAGUGGAGUGAAACCUCAAAAAUGCGAAGCGUCCGCCCGCGGGAGGGCAGGGGACAUAGAGGGCGCCUUUCUCGCCACCGGCGGCAGGUACGCGCGGCGCAGGGCAGCCCCCGCUGACCCUCCCCUCCGGGCCAGGACCGCGCGGGACCCGCAGGGGCUUCCGAGGAGACACCCGGGACCUCGGCCGCCUUCGCUGGAGCAGCACCCGGCGGAUCCCCAGGCGACUGCGCCUGCAGGAAGCCCUCCGGUGGGACUCAAAGAUUUCCCCCAUUUGGGAGAUAAAUCGAGGCCCCAAGCGACUGAAUGAGCUUCCUGAGGACACACGUUAAGUCACAGGUGCUAUCUGUGGCCUGCCCAAACCCAGAGCUGGAAGAGGGCUAAGUUCCAAGUGGGCAAGCCUGCAUCCUCUCGUGUCCUGCCCUUGCGGGUGGGCUAAGGGGCUCCUCUGGCCCAGUCUAGCCACGCACC